rnacentral:rRNA from 1 species
GGGUGAGUAACGCGUGGGUAAUCUACCCUUGAAUCCGGGAUAACGUUGCGAAAGCGACGCUAAUACCGAAUGACAUCAUAAAGGUCUUGGCUUUUAUGAUUAAAGGUGGCCUCUAUAUAUAAGCUACUGUUUGAGGAUGAGCCCGCGUACCAUUAGCUAGUUGGUAGGGUAAUGGCCUACCAAGGCUACGAUGGUUAGCUGGUCUGAGAGGAUGAUCAGCCACACUGGAACUGACACACGGUCCAGACUCC